AGAGUUUGAUCAUGGCUCAGAGCGAACGCUGGCGGCAGGCCUAACACAUGCAAGUCGAACGGGAGUAGCAAUACUCUAGUGGCGCACGGGUGCGUAACGCGUAUGCAACCUACCUUUCAGUGGGGGAUAGCCCGGGGAAACCCGGAUUAAUACCGCAUAAGAUAGUUGACUGGCAUCAGUUAAUUAUGAAACAUUUAUGGCUGAAAGAUGGGCAUGCGUUAGAUUAGCUAGUUGGUGAGGUAGAGGCUCACCAAGGCUAUGAUCUAUAGGGGUUCUGAGAGGAAGAUCCCCCACACUGGUACUGAGACAGGGACCAGACUCCUACGGGAGGCAGCAGUAGGGAAUAUUGGGCAAUGGAGGCAACUCUGACCCAGCCAUGCCGCGUGCAGGAAGAAGGCCUUCUGGGUUGUAAACUGCUUUUGGAAGGGAACAAAAAGGCUUUGCGAAGCAACUUGAGUGUACCUUCAGAAUAAGCACCGGCUAACUCCGUGCCAGCAGCCGCGGUAAUACGGAGGGUGCAAGCGUUGUCCGGAUUUAUUGGGUUUAAAGGGUGCGUAGGCGGCUUAUUAAGUCAGGGGUGAAAGACUGCAGCUCAACUGUAGCAGUGCCUUUGAUACUGAUGAGCUUGAGUACAGAUGAGGCAGGCGGAAUGGGUGGUGUAGCGGUGAAAUGCAUAGAUACCAUCCAGAACACCGAUUGCGAAGGCAGCCUGCUAAACUGUAACUGACGCUGAGGCACGAAAGCGUGGGGAUCGAACAGGAUUAGAUACCCUAGUAGUCC
rnacentral:rRNA from 1 species